rnacentral:rRNA from 1 species
UACAGAGGUCUCAAGCGUUGUUCGGAUUCAUUGGGCGUAAAGGGUGCGUAGGCGGCGCGGUAAGUCGGGUGUGAAAUCUUGGAGCUUAACUCCGAAACUGCAUUCGAUACUGCCGUGCUUGAGGACUGGAGAGGAGACUGGAAUUUACGGUGUAGCGGUGAAAUGCGUAGAUAUCGUAAGGAAGACCAGUGACGAAGGCGGGUCUCUGGACAGUUCCUGACACUGAGACACGAAGGCCAGGGGAGCAAACGGG